GCAACACUUCCCAUGAUAUGUUUUCAUUCGUUGCUGAGUCCGCCCGAGUCCGCCAUGUUCUCGUUUAUUCGGUGCCUUUCUGUCGCGGAAAUUAAUUUUCAUAUCAUGUUAUAUAAUUUUCUUGCGCGAAAAGUAGGUACUGUAGAGCGAUUUGCCUGCGCAGAACAAAAGCUGGAACCGAGACUGCCGCUGCACUGCUCAAAGGCGAUUCCUCCGAAGGAAGUUCGAAAAAGAAGCACACUUUUUACAAGAUGCUGAUCGGAUAACUGGAUUGCCGGAACACACGACCAAACAGAUGUCAACUUCAUGGAGAAUCUGGAGUCCAGCCGAAUAUACCAUUCCGGAGCUGGCCUAUGAGGACAUAUUGGCGCAAGGCUGCGGGCAAGGCAGAAGAACAAACAUCCCUUGGAACAAACUGGUGAACCGUGGCACGGCAGCUUCGGUGUUUUGGGUUGGCACGAAAAACAUGACCGAGCUCUGUGAACUAUUCUACUGAUUGCUAAGGGAACCUUAACACAUCCUUGAGUGCAGACUUGUAUUUCAUCUGGAAGUGUCCACUGCGGUUCCUCAGAUUCAUCACCAGAAGCGUCCAAGCCAUUAUGUUCCAUAUUUUAAAUAAUUGUUUACUGCAAUAAAAAAGUAAUUGAUGAUUUA
rnacentral:lncRNA from 1 species